rnacentral:rRNA from 1 species
UAGGGAAUCUUCCACAAUGGGCGAAAGCCUGAUGGAGCAACGCCGCGUGAGUGAUGAAGGUUUUCGGAUCGUAAAACUCUGUUGUUAGGGAAGAACACCCGAGAGAGGAUCUCGGACUGACGGUACCUAACGAGAAAGCCCCGGCUAACUACGUGCCAGCAGCCGCGGUAAUACGUCGGGGGCAAGCGUUGUCCGGAUUUACUGAGUUUAAAGGGUGCGUAGGUGGGCUUAUAAGUCAGUGGUGAAAUCUCCGAGCUUAACUUGGAAACGGCCGUUGNUACUAUAGGUCUUGAAUUAUCUGGAGGGAAGCGGAAUAUGUCAUGUAGCGGUGAAAUGCUUAGAUAUGACAUAGAACACCAAGUGCGAAGGCAGCUUACUACAUAUAAAUUGACGCUGAGGCACGAAAGCGUGGGGAUCAAACA